AUGGAGACCAGGAUGGGAGCAGGCACUUUGAUUGCCUCAUGAAGAUAGGUUUGGCCAGACUCUGCAAACCGAAGCACUAAGAAAGGCCCAGACCUUACUGUUUGGAUCAACUUGGUUAAUGAAGCAUUACAAAGAAAGUGAAUAUCCCAAGUUGGAGGGGACACUCACGGUUCAUCAAGUCCAACUCCUAGAUCAUGACAGAGGAGAAUACUGAGAAAUCUUAUAAGAAAUCUUAUUAUCAUAAUUUUUUUUAAAGACAACACAAAGUGUUUCUGAGAAAUGAAUGAUUGUAUAAAAUUAACUCUCUUAGAUUGCUCAUACAACUGUAUAAGAAGUGAAAAUAUGAAAAAUUCAUGUCCAAACAGCAUUUGGGAAUAAGGACAGGGAUGAUCCUUUCUUCCGGAUCUUUAGAACAUAAAAAUGAAUUAAUGAAUGAAAUGAAAUGUUUGUCUGUUCUUCCAGGAAUAAAUGUGUUAUUCUUCUGUUUCUUUAUUUUGUU